rnacentral:rRNA from 1 species
GAAAGUAAGCAAGGGCAGACGGUGGAUGCCUUGGCUCUCGGAGGCGACGAAGGACGUGAUAAGCUGCGAAAAGCCCGGGGGAGGCGCAAAUAGCCCUUGAUCCCGGGAUAUCCGAAUGGGGCAACCCGGCAGGCUGAAGGCCUGCCAUCCCGUAAGGGAGGCGAACGUGGGGAACUGAAACAUCUAAGUACCCAUAGGAGGAGAAAAUAAACAAUGAUUCCGUAAGUAGUGGCGAGCGAACACGGAAGAGCCCAAACCCAUGUCGUCUAGGCGACACGGGGGUUGUAGGACCACGACGUGGCAAGAGGAUGGCAAGUGGAACGCCUUGGAAAGGGCGACCGUAGAGGGUGAUAGUCCCGUACACGACUGCCUGCCGAAGCCUAGUGGCAUCCUGAGUAGCGCGGGGCACGAGAAAUCUUGCGUGAAACAGCGGGGCCCAUCCCGUAAGGCUAAAUACUCCCGAGAGACCGAUAGCGAACCAGUACCGUGAGGGAAAGGUGAAAAGAACCCCGAGCAGGGGAGUGAAAUAGACCCUGAACCCGUCUGCCUACAAGCGGUCGGAGCAUAGCAAUAUGUGACGGCGUGCCUUUUGCAUAAUGAACCUACGAGUUACCUUCCCCGGCAAGGUUAAGUACCUAAGGUACGGAGCCGAAGCGAAAGCGAGUCUGAAGAGGGCGGCCAGUCGGGGGGGGUAGACGCGAAACCGAGUGAUCUACCCUUGGCCAGGUUGAAGGUUGGGUAACACCAACUGGAGGACCGGAUGGGUAAGCGUUGAAAAGCUUUCCAAUGAGCUGAGGGUAGGGGUGAAAGGCUAAUCAAACUCGGAGAUAGCUCGUACUCCCCGAAAUGCAUUUAGGUGCAGCCUCUUUAUAGUAUAUCGUGAGGUAGAGCGACUGAUUGGAUGCGAGGGCUUCACCGCCUAUCAAGUCCAGAUAAACUCCGAAUGCGCGAUAUAUAUUUACAGGGAGUGAGGGCGCGGGUGCUAAGGUCCGUGUCCGAGAGGAGAAGAAUCCAGACCACCGGCUAAGGCCCCCAAAUGAUCGUUGAGUUGAACUAACGAGGUCGGAUCGCAGAGACAGCUAGGAUGUUGGCUUGGAAGCAGCCAUUCAUUUAAAGAGUGCGUAACAGCUCACUAGUCGAGCGAUCUGGCGUGGAUAAUAAUCGGGCAUAAACGAUCUGCCGAAGCCGUGGAUGUCGUAAGACAUGGUAGGGGAGCAUUCCAUGCGGCGUCGAAGAUGAGGGAUGACCCUUGUUGGAGCGCAUGGAAAAGCAAAUGUAGGUAUGAGUAACGAUAAGGGGGGCGAGAAACCCCCCCGCCGAAAGACCAAGGUUUCCUGAUCAACGCUAAUCGGAUCAGGGUGAGUCGGGACCUAAGGCAAAGCCGAACGGCGCCGCCGAUGGAAGAAUGGGUUAAUAUUCCCAUACUGCCUCAUGGAGUGACGUGGAGACGGAGAAGUGACAGUCCUGCCGGCUGACGGAAUAGCCGGUUGAAGGGUGUAGAUAUUGAUUCCCGUAGGCAAAUCCGCGGGGAGAGUCGAACCUGACAGUAUACCGAGUACUUGUACGAGGUAAUAUGGACGUAACCAUGCUCCCAAGAAAAUCCGCUAAACUUAUCCAUGCGGCACCCGUACCGUAAACGGACACACGUGGUCGGGUUGAGAAUACUGAGGCGCUCGAGUGACUCACGGUUAAGGAACUAGGCAAAUUGACCCUGUAACUUCGGGAUAAAGGGUCCUCGUCGUAAGGCGAGGCGCAGAGAAUAGGUCCAGGCAACUGUUUAACAAAAACACAUGGCUAUGCUAAAUGGAAACAUGACGUAUAUAGCCUGACACCUGCCCGGUGCUGGAAGGUUAAGAGGAGAUGUCAUCGCAAGAGAAGCGUUGAAUUGAAGCCCCAGUAAACGGCGGCCGUAACUAUAACGGUCCUAAGGUAGCGAAAUUCCUUGUCGGGUAAGUUCCGACCUGCACGAAUGGUGUAAUGAUCCGGACGCUGUCUCAACCAUGAGCUCAGUGAAAUUGUAGUAUCGGUGAAGAUGCCGAUUACCCGCGAUGGGACGAAAAGACCCCGUGAACCUUUACUAUAGCUUUACAUUGAAUUUGGGCAGACGAUGUGUAGGAUAGGCCGGAGGCUUUGAAGGGGGUACGCCAGUAUCCUUGGAGCCGCCGUUGAAAUACGGCCCUUCGGUUGUUUGAGUUCUAACUCCCGGAUGGGAGGACACUGUAUGGUGGGUAGUUUGACUGGGGUGGUCGCCUCCAAAAGCGUAACGGAGGCUUCUAAAGGUGCCCUCAGACCGAUUGGUAACCGGUCGUAGAGUGUAAUGGCAUAAGGGCGCUUGACUGGGAGAGAUACAACUCGAUCAGGUAGGAAACUAGAGCAUAGUGAUCCGGUGGUUCCGCAUGGAAGGGCCAUCGCUCAAAGGAUAAAAGGUACUCCGGGGAUAACAGGCUGAUCGCUCCCAAGAGCUCAUAUCGACGGAGCGGUUUGGCACCUCGAUGUCGGCUCGUCACAUCCUGGGGCUGGAGAAGGUCCCAAGGGUUCGGCUGUUCGCCGAUUAAAGUGGCACGCGAGCUGGGUUCAGAACGUCGUGAGACAGUUCGGUCCCUAUCUGUUGUGGGCGUUGGAUAUUUGCGAAGCUCUGACUCUAGUACGAGAGGACCGGGUUGGACGUACCUCUAGUGAAUCAGUUGUGUCGCCAGAUGCAUUGCUGAGUAGCUACGUACGGAAUGGAUAAGCGCUGAAAGCAUCUAAGCGCGAAGCCUGCUUCAAGAUGAGAUAUCCUUACAGGGUCGUUGUAGAUGACAACGUAGAUAGGUUGCAGGUAUAUAGUCGGUGACGGCACAGCCGAGCAAUACUAAUCACCCGAACGUUUACUUUA